rnacentral:misc_RNA from 1 species
ACAUAUCAAACCAAUCAAAUUUCAUGAUUGGUCUUGGAUGUUGAGGGUUGCUGGACUUUGAUGAUCAGCUCCCUUUAAAUACAUUAGCUUGGAAUGUAUAAGCUGCUUUAGCUUAGGCUGAUAUGAGUAUUUAUUAAAUGCUUUUGCUAAACUGCUUUUCUAUGCUUAUAAUUGUCCUGGGGACUGCCAUAGGCAUUUUAUAAUUUGAUCAUGACCUCA